rnacentral:rRNA from 1 species
GUAGGUGGCAAGCGUUGUCCGGAAUUAUUGGCGUAAAGCGCGCGCAGGCGGUUCGUUUAAGUCUGAUGUGAAAGCCCACGGGCUCAACCGUGGAGGGUCAUUGGAAACUGGAGAACUUGAGUACAGAAGAGGAAAGCGGAAUUCCACGUGUAGCGGUGAAAUGCGUAGAGAUGUGGAGGAACACCAGUGGCGAAGGCGGCUUUCUGGUCUGUAACUGACGCUGAGGCGCGAAAGCGUGGGGAGCAAACAGGAUUAGAUACCCUGGUAGUCCACGCCGUAAACGAUGAGUGCUAAGUGUUAGGGGGGUUUCCGCCCCUUAGUGCUGCAGCUAACGCAUUAAGCACUCCGCCUGGGGAGUACGGCCGCAAGGCUG